GAUGAACGCUAGCUACAGGCUUAACACAUGCAAGUCGAGGGACCGGCGCACGGGUGAGUAACGCGUAUCCAACCUAACCAUUACUGUGGGAUAACCUGCCGAAAGGCAGACUAAUACCGCAUAUUAAUGGAUGGGGUUGCGUCUGAUUAGCUUGUUGUCGGGGUAACGGCCAACCAAGGCAACAAUCAGUAGGGGUUCUGAGAGUAAGAUCCACCACAUUGGAACUGAGACACGGUCCAAAAUCGUACGGGAGGCAGGAGUGAGGAAUAUUGGUCAAUGGGCGCGAGCCUGAACCAGCCAAGUAGCGUGCAGGAUGACGGCCUAUGGGUUGUAAACUGCUUUUGUAUGGGGAUAGGUACCAUACGAAGAAGGACCGGCUAAUUCCGUGCCAGCAGCCGCGGUAAUUCC
rnacentral:rRNA from 1 species